rnacentral:lncRNA from 13 species
AGGAAAGUCAUCUACUUGCACAGCUUUGAUUAUAAUUCAAACAGAAAUGACUCCCACGCUUAUCUCUCCAACUCAAAUCUCUCAUUUGAAUUCCAAAGGCAUUUUUUAACCACCAAAUCUACAGCUCCACAUAAAAAUCUCACAGACAGAUCAAACUUUGCAUGUCAAAAAUGAACCCGUGCUCAACCCACCACUUACUUGAUCUGUUGGAUUUUGUGUCUCAGUAAAUGGCAUCAUCAUCUGGAAGAAACCUGGAAGUCAACCACGACUCUGCUCCAUCCCUAAACACUCACUUAAUCAAGUCCUGUUGAGUCUACUACAAAAAAAUAUAUUUUAAAACCUUUACAUGGUUCCUUUCCACUACCCAUCAUCUCACUUCCUUUCAAUAAUCCCCUGUUUGGGGUUAAACUAUAUCCCUAAGAAAGAUAUAUUGCAGUCCUAAUCCACAAUGCCUAUGAAUAUGACCUUACUUAGAUAUAGAAUAUUUGCAGAUGUAAUCAGUUAAGAUGAGGUCAUCAGGGUGGGCUCUAUUCCAUUGUGACUGGGGUCUUUGUGGGAAGAGGAGAAGAGGCACUGAAGCAGACAUACAGGGAGAAGGUAAGGUGAAGACAUACAGGAAGAGCACCAUAAUGACAGCGUGAUGUGUCCAACAAGCAAGGAGUUUCAAGAAUUGAAAUCAACAUUGGAAGCUAAGAAAAGGACAUUGAACAGCUUUUUUCCUAAAGCCUUUAGAGAGAGCAUGACCUGCUGCAACCCCCAUCUUGAAAUGCUUGAGGAAGUAACCAGGCUUGUUGGAAAAGUUCUCAGAGUAAGGGACUAUGAGUGGCCUCUAAGGACUGCAGGCAGCCUCUAGAAUGAAUGUGGACCUGCAACUACAAAGAGCGAAAGGACCAGUCACGCAACCACAAGGAAAUAACUUCUACCAAAGCUGAAUGACUUUGGAAGCAGAUUCUUCCCAGCCAAUCCUGAUGAUGACGAUGUAGUCUGGCCAGCGUCUUCCCUGGACUCUGACGGACUCUAUGCCUGGGACCCAGCUGAUAUCACGUGGUAGUACAUUUUAUAAAAUUACAUUUUAUAAAGAUUUGCUACACAGUGAUAGAAACCAAUACAAUAGGUAAUCCAAAUCAUCUUUUGCUUGGCAACAUUUCAUCACUAAAUUAUUUAGGCUGGGCGCGGUGGCUCAUGCCUGUAAUCCCAGCACUUUGGGAGGCCGAGGUGGGUGGAUCACGAGGUCAAGAGAUCAAGGCCAUCCUGGUCAACAUGGUGAAACCCCAUCUCUACUAAAAUACAAAAAAUUAGCUGGGCAUGGUGGCACGUGCCUGUAAUCCCAGCUUCUCAGGAGGCUGAGGCAGGAGAAUUGUCUGAACCCAGGAGGCGGAGGUCGCGGUGAAAAUACUACUUUAUGAGCGAUCAGAAUCAGUAAAACAAACAAUGGAAAUGUAAACGUCCUGUGAAGUUUUUUGAAUCCUUAGUGAAAUUAUGUGG